GACGAACGCUGGCGGCGUGCUUAACACAUGCAAGUCGAACGGAAAGGCCCUGCUUUUGUGGGGUGCUCGAGUGGCGAACGGGUGAGUAACACGUGAGUAACCUGCCCUUGACGUUGGGAUAACUUCAGGAAACUGGGGCUAAUACCGGAUAGGAGCUCCUGCUGCAUGGUGGGGGUUGGAAAGUUUCGGCGGUUGGGGAUGGACUCGCGGCUUAUCAGCUGGUUGGUGGGGUAGUGGCUUACCAAGGCUUUGACGGGUAGCCGGCCUGGGAGGGUGGCCGGCCACCUUGGGCCUGAGAUACGGCCCAGUCUCCUACGGGAGGCAGCAGUGGGGAAUAUUGCACAAUGGGCGGACGCCUGAUGCAGCAACGCCGCGUGCGGGAUGACGGCCUUCGGGUUGUAAACCGCUUUCGCCUGUGACGAAGCGUGAGUGACGGUAAUGGGUAAAGAAGCACCGGCUAACUACGUG
rnacentral:rRNA from 1 species